UGCAGAUAAGCGCGGGAGUACGUAGAGGCCGCUCGUACAGAGUGGCAGCCCGAAAGGGUGGGACCCUCGGUUCCCGGGAUCUGCACUUUU
rnacentral:sRNA from 12 species